rnacentral:rRNA from 1 species
GAUGAACGCUAGCGGGAGGCCUAACACAUGCAAGCCGAGCGGUAUUGUUUCUUCGGAAAUGAGAGAGCGGCGUACGGGUGCGGAACACGUGUGCAACCUGCCUUUAUCUGGGGGAUAGCCUUUCGAAAGGAAGAUUAAUACUCCACAAUAUAUUGAACGGCAUCGUUUAAUAUUGAAAGCUCCGGCGGAUAGAGAUGGGCACGCGCAAGAUUAGCUAGUUGGUGAGGUAACGGCUCACCAAGGCGAUGAUCUUUAGGGGGCCUGAGAGGGUGAUCCCCCACACUGGUACUGAGACACGGACCAGACUCCUACGGGAGGCAGCAGUGAGGAAUAUUGGUCAAUGGGUGCAAGCCUGAACCAGCCAUCCCGCGUGAAGGACGACUGCCCUAUGGGUUGUAAACUUCUUUUGUAUAGGGAUAAACCUACCCUCGUGAGGGUAGCUGAAGGUACUAUACGAAUAAGCACCGGCUAACUCCGUGCCAGCAGCCGCGGUAAUACGGAGGGUGCAAGCGUUAUCCGGAUUUAUUGGGUUUAAAGGGUCCGUAGGCGGACUUAUAAGUCAGUGGUGAAAGCCUGUCGCUUAACGAUAGAACUGCCAUUGAUACUGUAAGUCUUGAGUAUAUUUGAGGUAGCUGGAAUAAGUAGUGUAGCGGUGAAAUGCAUAGAUAUUACUUAGAACACCAAUUGCGAAGGCAGGUUACCAAGAUAUAACUGACGCUGAGGGACGAAAGCGUGGGGAGCGAACAGGAUUAGAUACCCUGGUAGUCCACGCCGUAAACGAUGCUAACUCGUUUUUGGGCUUUAGGGUUCAGAGACCAAGCGAAAGUGAUAAGUUAGCCACCUGGGGAGUACGCUCGCAAGAGUGAAACUCAAUGGAAUUGACGGGGGCCCGCACAAGCGGUGGAUUAUGUGGUUUAAUUCGAUGAUACGCGAAGAACCUUACCAAGACUUAAAUGGGAAUUGACAGCUUUAGAAAUAGAGCUUUCUUCGGACAAUUUUCAAGGUGCUGCAUGGUUGUCGUCAGCUCGUGCCGUGAGGUGUUAGGUUAAGUCCUGCAACGAGCGCAACCCCUGUCACUAGUUGCCAUCAUUCAGUUGGGGACUCUGGUGAGACUGCCUACGCAAGUAGAGAGGAAGGCGGGGAUGACGUCAAAUCAUCACGGCCCUUACGUCUUGGGCCACACACGUAAUACAAUGGCCGGUACAGAGGGCAGCUACACAGCGAUGUGAUGCAAAUCUCGAAAGCCGGUCUCAGUUCGGAUUGGAGUCUGCAACUCGACUCUAUGAAGCUGGAAUCGCUAGUAAUCGCGCAUCAGCCAUGGCGCGGUGAAUACGUUCCCGGGCCU